GUCAAGCAUUAACCCAUUCAGGCUGAGAGAAAGGAAAUAAUUCCCCGUUUCUUUUCUUUUUUGUUCUUCCCCAUUUCAUCUCGCAGAAUCUGAAAUCGAGAAUCUGCAGUGAAUUAGGAUCGGAGAUGAACUUCUGAAUGGUUUUAUAUAGAUGGAGAAAUCAGGAUAUAUAGUUCAAGGCAUAAACCCAAGCUUCAUUGCAGACAUCCUACUACACCACCUAGUUAUGUUCUUCAUCAAUUCCAGAUCCUGCUGCAUUAGCUACUUCUCAUACCGCACCAGCUCAGGCUAUCUCUCAUGCUGCCAAUCUGAGCAUUUUACAUACCACCUACUACAACAACUAGCUUGCUGAUUCUUUAUGCUGAAUACUUCCACCACUACUGUUAGUGUGUCUACUUAUACAAUAUGUUGCCUCACUUUCUGCAUCACCACCUACUAUUGUUGAUGUCUACAUACUUUAUGUCCAUUCUACAUCAACUGCACCUUGUUUUUGAAGUUAUUUCAUGAUGUAUGCUGCUUCGGUCCCUAUCAAAAUUGUGCUUCAUGUUUCCUACUCAAACUGGACAUUCCGCACCACCUGUAAUGGAUAUCUUUCAUACUGUUCAACUGUGUAUCUAUGUGUGUGUUGGCUUUUGUGAGAGUUGUGUGUGUGUAAGGUGCAAUUCAAUAGUGGCUCUUAUAAUUUUGAAGUUUGUUAGUUAAUACUUUCUUGAUUGCUCUUUAAUUUGGCUUUUUUAGAGUCAAUAACUGUCGUUACUUAGGAAACUUUACUUGAAUUGUUAGCAUAAACGAAAUUAACAUUGCAUAUUAGCUUGGUUAAUACACUUUGAACAUUGUAGUGCA